rnacentral:tRNA from 1 species
GCGUUCUUAGCUCAACUGGAUAGAGCACCGCCCUUCUAAGGCGGGGGUUUGGGGUUCGAGUCCCUAAGGACGCGCCA